UGUUAACACUGUUAAUUUGAAGGACUGGA
rnacentral:piRNA from 1 species